AUUGAACGCUGGCGGCAGGCCUAACACACGCAAGUCGAACGGUAACAGGAAACAGCUUGCUGUUUCGCUGACGAGUGGCGGACGGGUGAGUAAUGUCUGGGAAACUGCCUGAUGGAGGGGGAUAACUACUGGAAACGGUAGCUAAUACCGCAUAACGUCGCAAGACCAAAGAGGGGGACCCUCGGGCCUCUUGCCAUCGGAUGUGCCCAGAUGGGAUUAGCUUGUUGGUGGGGUAACGGCUCACCAAGGCGACGAUCCCUAGCUGGUCUGAGAGGAUGACCAGCCACACUGGAACUGAGACACGGUCCAGACUCCUACGGGAGGCAGCAGUGGGGAAUAUUGCACAAUGGGCGCAAGCCUGAUGCAGCCAUGCCGCGUGUAUGAAGAAGGCCUUCGGGUUGUAAAGUACUUUCAGCGGGGAGGAAGGGAGUAAAGUUAAUACCUUUGCUCAUUGACGUUACCCGCAGAAGAAGCACCGGCUAACUCCGUG
rnacentral:rRNA from 1 species